CUUGCGGUUCUCCACAGGGCUCAGGAAAGGCUGAGAGGAUUUCUUAUGUCAGGAGGCAUAGUUUUUGCAAUUUCUUAGGAAAGUUGGGCUGUGGGAUGGCCCAGCCAGAAUCUAUUAUACUUUAAACUUGAAACAUGCUUCCCAAAGAAGAAAGAAAAGCAAAACAAUUAAACAGAAACCGAGACAAUAAUACUAAUAAUAAAUGGACUUCUACUUUUUCAGAGACAGCUCGUGUUCUAUUGACUGAUUAGUGCCUGGGGUGAUACUCACAGCCUCAAAACCAUAUUCUCAGAGAAGGUAAAGCAGUGUCUACAUUACAACCAAAAACGGAAUUCAGCCGCAAGGUUGAAGGAAAGGCCAAUGCAAGCAAACCAUUUUAUUUGACAUCAUAAAUUUAUCUUCUGCUUUAUACUCCUCCCUUUAAAAAAAAAAAAAGCAAACUAAACUAUCGAAAGACGUUAGGCAAAAGUCACACGCUAACAUCAGCAGUUUCCAAAGUUUAUUAACUUCUGAGUAAAGCAACUGCUUGGAAGUGUUUGAGUGUCUUUAAUCCCCAUGAAAUCUUUUCACUGAAACCUUGGAGCUCUGCAAUUCUGAAAGCGUGUGUCAAGAUGGAACUUCCAUCAAUCUGGGGCUCUAAGUAAUGGUGAUGAGCAGAACCUUCUUGCCCACCUACAGUAGAUAUUUAGCAUAUGUGAGAAAUAUGCUCUGCUGGGUUAAGCAAAAAGAACAAGAAGCAAGCAAAAAACCAAACAGACUGUGGCUUUCAUCAUGGUCUCUCUCUCUUGGAUCACACACUCUGGGGGAAGCUACCUGCCACUUCGUGAAGACACUCAGGCAGCUUAUGAAGAGGCAGAGUGGUCAGAGACUGAAGUAUUUGGCCAAUAGCCCAUGUGGGAUAGAGACCUGCCAACAACUGCAGGAGUGAGCUGAGAAGCUCUUCCUAUAGUCAAGCCUUCAGAUGAUGGCAGUCUUAAGAGAAACCUGGAGUCAGAACAACCCAGCUAAGCCACGCCCAGAUUCCUGACCUCCAGAAACUGCAUGAGAUAACAAAUGCUGGCCAUUUAAAGCUGCUAAAUUUGGGGGUAACUUGUUACACAACAAAAAAUAACUAAUACACACUGGCAGGGCCACAGUAUGACUUUUGUGGGCCCCAGGCACCUUUGCCUUUGUAGGUGUCUUCCUCCAAAAAUAUUAAAAGUUCUAUUUGUGACCAUGUUGAUAUAAAGACAAAUAUGAUCCAGACUGGAUUCAUUAUUAUAUAUUCAUUAUCAUUAUAUCCACUUUUGUCUUCUGAUUUUAAAAGAAAUAAAAGUUAAAACAUUUUUGUAGGCCCUGAAGUAUAGGGGCCUAGACACUGUGCCUUCCAUGUCAGAUGGAUGUCAGCCCUGCACAUGGGAAGAGCAUGGGAGGGACAUGCAGUUACUGAUGAAAGCUGAAUACCGAAGAAUUGGUUACUGGCCCUGACAGUCCUCAAGUUCAAGGAAGAAGCCAAAUACCUGGGAAUACUUAGUAUUUGGGAAAAAUCCUAUCCUCUGUGGAUCCUAUUGGGUCCUAUAUCUCAGGUAACCAGGGGAACUGAGUGCAAGCUGCUCUAAGUUAUUACUAAAAGGCAAUGACAUGACCUGCACUUGUUGGGUCCAAACCACACAGGAUCCCAUGAAAGCUGGUGUAUCAGCUAUGACUAUUCAGGUGACGUGGGCUGUGUAACACUGGGUUCUGGACUCAAUCUCUUCCUGAAGCUGAUGUCUCAUACUCACAAUUUGAAUUAAAUCUGGAGGCAGUAAAGUCUUUUGAUUCACAGACACAGAAUCUAGCAGGCUUGAGUUUAAAUCCUACCUGUGGUCCUUCCUGGCUGUGUUGUCUUUGGCAAUUUUUCAACCUCAAGCCUAAAGUUUCUCCAUCUACAGUAUACAUUCCACCAGUCAACAGCAUAAAACAUGGCCCCCCAAAAUGGCAAGUGGUUCCAUCCCAUAGACUAUCUUCAAAGUCAAAAGAGUUGUUACAAAAUUGGAGUGAGGGAUUAGAUAGUUCCACCUGAUGAAACGAUUAUAAAUAUAUGAAGUCUAUGAAGGAAAUGAUAACAUAUUACUGAAGGACGUGAAAGAAGAUCUGAAUAAAGGGACAGAUGUACUAUGUUGAUUCAGGAAAACACUCCAUU
rnacentral:lncRNA from 1 species